rnacentral:rRNA from 1 species
AACGAACGCUGGCGGCAGGCCUAACACAUGCAAGUCGAGCGAGGACUUAGGUACUAGCGGCGGACGGGUGAGUAACGCGUGGGAACGUGCCCUUUGCUUCGGAAUAGCACUGGGAAACUGGGAGUAAUACCGGAUGAGUCCUUUGGGGGAAAGAUUUAUCGGCGAAGGAUCGGCCCGCGUUGGAUUAGGUAGUUGGUGGGGAAAUGGCCUACCAAGCCGACGAUCCAUAGCUGGUUUGAGAGGAUGAUCAGCCACACUGGGACUGGGACGCGGCCCAGACUCCUUCGGGAGGCAGCAGUGGGUAAUCUUAGACAAUGGGGGAAACCCUGAUCGAGCCAUGCCGCGUGAGCGAUGAAGGCCUGAGGGUUGUAAAGCUCUUUCAGCUGGGAAGAUAAUGACGGUACCAGCAGAAGAAGCCCCGGCUAACUCCGUG